UACGAAGGGGGCUAGCGUUGCUCGGAAUCACUGGGCGUAAAGCGCACGUAGGCGGACUCUUAAGUCAGGGGUGAAAUCCUGGAGCUCAACUCCAGAACUGCCUUUGAUACUGGGAGUCUUGAGUUCGGGAGAGGUGAGUGGAACUGCGAGUGUAGAGGUGAAAUUCGUAGAUAUUCGGAAGAACACCAGUGGCGAAGGCGGCUCACUGGCCCGGUACUGACGCUGAGGUGCGAAAGCGUGGGGAGCAAACAGG
rnacentral:rRNA from 1 species